rnacentral:lncRNA from 1 species
GCGCGCCUGCCAGGCCGGGGCCGGCGGCGGAACAGCUUGGGACCCGAAACGCCUCGGCUUUUCUGCGGACCCGCGCCCGGCCGCUGCCGCCGGACGCUUGAAAAGAGGCAGAGUCUUGCUUUGUUGUCCAGGCUGGUCUUGAACUUCUGAGCUCAAGUGAUCCUCCCGCCUUGGCCUCCCAAAGUGCUGAGACUACAGAGAGAGAAUGCUAACGAGCUGUGAAAUGACCAAAGAUCUGGCAGCAGAAGGGAAAAGAAAAAAUAAUGGAAUAUUUUCUGUCUACAAUUGGUUGAAUCUGUGGAUGUGGAAACUGCAGAUACAGAUGGAGAGCCGACUAUACUAGCUUUUUGUUUCAUUUUUCACUUCUGGUGUGUGUGUGUGUGUGUGUGUGUGUGUGUGUGUGUGUGUAUCUGUGUGUGUGUUUUAUUAAUCUCUGUGCCUGCAUGUUAGUUUCUUCCUCUUUAUUUGGAUUUUCACUAACAUUCUUUUCAGCUUCUUCAGUUGGAUACUUGUUGCCAAUAUAUUUUUUUUCAUUCUAAGAAUUAAAUAAAUGGGCCAGGCGUGGUGGCUCAUGCCUGUAAUCCCAGCACUUUGGGAGGCCAAGAUGGGUGGAUCACAAGGUCAGGUGUUUGAGACCAGCUUGGCCAAAGCUGGUGAAACUCCAUCUCUACUAAAAAUACAAAAAUUAGCUGGGCAUGGUGGUGCGCGUCUAUAAUCCCAGCUACUCAGGAAGCUGAGGCAGGAGAAUCACUUGCACCCAAGAAGUGGAGGUUGCAGUGAGCCAAGAUUGCGCCAUUGCACCCCAGCCUGGGCAACACAGCGAGACUCCAUCUGAAAAAAAAAAAAAAGAAUAAAUGAAUGUAUUAAUCACCAAACUGCUCUUCAUCAGAAACUCUUAGCAGUGGUAUGUUGAGGUCUCCCUGCCUACCGUAUAUGUCUCUUAACUCUGCGGGUGCAAUAUUUUGUCAUGGGUCAGUUUAGCAAUAUUGUACUAUUUCCCAAUUUUCUAAGUGUGUUCAUUUCAGAGUUUAUCCUAUUCAUUGUUCUUUCUUUCUUUUAAAAAUUUCUAUGACUGAGCUGGACAUGGUAGCUCACACCUGUAAUCCUAGCACUUUGGGAGGCUGAGGAGAGUGGAUCACCUGAGGUCAGGAGUUCCAAACCAGCCUGGCCAACAUAGUGAAACCCUGUGUCUACUAAAAAUACAAAAAAUUAGCUGGCCAUGGUGGCAGGCGCCUGUAAUCCCGGCUACUAGGGAGGCUGAGGCAGGAGAAUCUCUUGAAUCCAUGAGGCGGAGGUUGCGGUGAGCCAAGAUCAUGCCAUUGCACUCCAGCCUGGGCACCAAGAGUGAAACUCUGUCUCAAAACAAAAAAAAACUUUUCUAUGACUGUAUUUUUAAUUCUCAGGAUUUUAAUUUGUUAUUCUUCAUAAUCAUAGCUAUUUUAUUUCUGACGGUUCGUGCUUCAUAAUUUUUAUGAAUGUUAUUCCUCUGCUUAAUUCCUUUGAAAGUCUUGAACAAAUUCUUUUUAAAGAAGUAAUUUUCAGAUACUCUAGUAUUUUGUUUUUACCUGGUGUGAAUGCUUCUCCAUGUUGUGGUUUCUAUUUUUGGCAGUCUUUCUUAUUUCUCUCCCUCUCUCCUUUUCUCUGUUCCUUCUUCUCUUCCUUCAUUCCUUCCUUCCUGUCCCCCUAGGCUUAACCUUCCUGGUCUCAUAGUUUUGCCGUUACCUACUUUCUGGGCCUCCCAGGCCUAGACCUCGGUUUUAUCCUAUAGUAUUGUAGAUCCAGUUCCUUCUCUAGGGUCAAAUUCCGUCUUUAAGACUAUGCCUGGUUCUUCCAUGUCCCUAGGUAUACAGAUGUUUACAAGCCUGUAGCCCUAGGCAAUUCCUUUCAAGGGGGUAGCCUUAUCCCAGCCCUUGAUUUCAUGUGAGUCUUCUGCCUCACAUGGGUUAUUUAGUUCUUAGUACCCUGUAUGAGUCUUGCCCCUGGAUGCCUCUGUUUGCUGUUGGCAGAAUUGAGCUGGUCUACAUCUUCAGGCUACUUACCAUAUUGUUUCUGUUCCAUUUCUGGGCUAUGGAGAUGUUUUUAAGUGUGAAAAUGCCUUACAUUUUUCCCAUUUUAUAUUAAAUCUAUUAUCACUAUCAUUUUGGAUUGGCGUGGUCCUCAAAGCCCCAUCUUGACUAGAAAUCAACUAGCAUUUGCUUCUCUGCAGUUCGUAAUCUAGCUUCCUCUCUCACCUUUCUCUUGGCAAUUGCCCUCUCUGAAGUCACUGCUGUUGUUUCCGAGUCACUGAAUGAAACCGUUUUUCCUUCAGCCCCCAUUUUCCUUCACUCCUCUGCAGCAUCCAGCAGUGUUGACUGCUCUUCCUUUUACCUCUCUCCUGUUGGCUGUUAGGAUGCUCUGCUGUCCCGGAUCACUACCUCUUCUGAUGCUUCCAGUUUUUAAACUGCUUUCACUUUUUCUUCCCCUUUUGUAACUGUGGAUGUCCCACAAGGCCAAGUCCUUGGUGCUCUGGUUUUACCCUCUAUUUCAGCUAAUUUUGCUUAUUCUCAUCUUUGGUCAUUGCUAAGUCCCUAUCUGUUCACCAGGGCUUCCCCCUCCCCUGAGUUCUAAGCUACAGAUCUGCUUGUGACACGUUCCACUUGAUGCCCUGCUGUUCCAUCAAAUUUCCUCCCCUUUAAUCCUCCCAAAUGCCAUUACAGAUAUCAUUAUUCUUAGAUGGAGUCUUGCUCCGUUGCCCAGGCUGGAGUAUAGUGGUGUGAUCUCGGCUCACUGCAACCUUCACCUCCUGUGUUCAAGUGAUUCUCCUGCUUCAGCCUCCUGAGUAGCUGGGAUUACAGGCAUGCACCACCACACCAGAGUAAUUUUUGUAUUUUUUUGGAGACGGGGUUUCAACAUGUUGGCCAGGCU